GACGAACGCUGGCGGCGUGCCUAAUACAUGCAAGUAGAACGCUGAAGAGAGGAGCUUGCUCUUCUUGGAUGAGUUGCGAACGGGUGAGUAACGCGUAGGUAACCUGCCUUGUAGCGGGGGAUAACUAUUGGAAACGAUAGCUAAUACCGCAUAACAAUGGAUGACCCAUGUCAUUUAUUUGAAAGGGGCAAAUGCUCCACUACAAGAUGGACCUGCGUUGUAUUAGCUAGUAGGUGAGGUAACGGCUCACCUAGGCGACGAUACAUAGCCGACCUGAGAGGGUGAUCGGCCACACUGGGACUGAGACACGGCCCAGACUCCUACGGGAGGCAGCAGUAGGGAACCUUCGGCAAUGGGGGCAACCCUGACCGAGCAACGCCGCGUGAGUGAAGAAGGUUUUCGGAUCGUAAAGCUCUGUUGUAAGUCAAGAACGAGUGUGAGAGUGGAAAGUUCACACUGUGACGGUAGCUUACCAGAAAGGGACGGCUAACUACGUGCCAGCAGCCGCGGUAAUACGUAGGUCCCGAGCGUUGUCCGGAUUUAUUGGGCGUAAAGCGAGCGCAGGCGGUUUGAUAAGUCUGAAGUUAAAGGCUGUGGCUCAACCAUAGUUCGCUUUGGAAACUGUCAAACUUGAGUGCAGAAGGGGAGAGUGGAAUUCCAUGUGUAGCGGUGAAAUGCGUAGAUAUAUGGAGGAACACCGGUGGCGAAAGCGGCUCUCUGGUCUGUAACUGACGCUGAGGCUCGAAAGCGUGGGGAGCGAACAGGAUUAGAUACCCUGGUAGUCCACGCCGUAAACGAUGAGUGCUAGGUGUUGGAUCCUUUCCGGGAUUCAGUGCCGCAGCUAACGCAUUAAGCACUCCGCCUGGGGAGUACGACCGCAAGGUUGAAACUCAAAGGAAUUGACGGGGGCCCGCACAAGCGGUGGAGCAUGUGGUUUAAUUCGAAGCAACGCGAAGAACCUUACCAGGUCUUGACAUCCCGAUGCUAUUUCUAGAGAUAGAAAGUUACUUCGGUACAUCGGUGACAGGUGGUGCAUGGUUGUCGUCAGCUCGUGUCGUGAGAUGUUGGGUUAAGUCCCGCAACGAGCGCAACCCCUAUUGUUAGUUGCCAUCAUUCAGUUGGGCACUCUAGCGAGACUGCCGGUAAUAAACCGGAGGAAGGUGGGGAUGACGUCAAAUCAUCAUGCCCCUUAUGACCUGGGCUACACACGUGCUACAAUGGUUGGUACAACGAGUUGCGAGUCGGUGACGGCAAGCUAAUCUCUUAAAGCCAAUCUCAGUUCGGAUUGUAGGCUGCAACUCGCCUACAUGAAGUCGGAAUCGCUAGUAAUCGCGGAUCAGCACGCCGCGGUGAAUACGUUCCCGGGCCU
rnacentral:rRNA from 1 species